rnacentral:rRNA from 1 species
AAUACCGGAUAAUCUUGAGGUCUGGCAUCAGACUUUAAGGAAAGAUGGCCUCUGAAGAUGCUAUCGAUUAUGGAUGGACCCGCGUCUGAUUAGCUAGUUGGUGGGGUAAAGGCCUACCAAGGCGACGAUCAGUAGCCGGCCUGAGAGGGUGAACGGCCACACUGGGACUGAGACACGGCCCAGACUCCUACGGGAGGCAGCAGUGGGGAAUCUUCCGCAAUGGACGAAAGUCUGACGGAGCAACGCCGCGUGUAUGAUGAAGGUCUUCGGAUUGUAAAGUACUGUCUUUGGGGAAGAACGAUCUCUUUGAAAAUAUUGAGGGGAUAUGACGGUACCCAAAGAGGAAGCCCCGGCUAACUACGUGCCAGCAGCCGCCGUAACAC